UGACUCUGGAUCCAGACACGGCUCAUCCCCAGCUCGCCCUGUCUGAGGAUCGGAGACAUGUGAGAUGGGGAUACGCCCGGCAGGAUCUGCCCAACAAUCCUGAGCGAUUUGACACUGGAUCAGUCAUAACCCUGAGGGGGGGCAGGGGGGGCAGAUCUAUUUAUAAAGAGCAAUCAUAUCUCCCCUCAGCAGAGUGCAGGACAGAGUCACAAACCCGAGCAGGAACAGGUCUCCUCACGACAUUAUCUAAGGAGGAAGGAGAAGAUCAUCUUCUGUUUUCAGCAGAGGAGAGGAAACUGCUAUAGAAUCAAACUUUAACAAAAACUGACAAAGUCAUCUUUCCCCCUGAAGACAAAACUCCCAGUAUAGCCUGAUCACUAGGAUAGCUGACAAUAAAAAUUCCUAUCAAAUCGUACAUCAGGAAUAAGGAGAAAGAAUAUUGCAGAAAUGAAAAAUGUCUGGAGGAAGGCUACAAGUAUGGUCAGAGUUGGGAAAGACUUCCAUCUGAGCAGAGACUUAAAAGCCCUACCACAUAUCCUGUUCUAAGGAGCGUUCUGGUGACCAUAUUUGAAUGGAAGACCUGCAAGGUACUUCAGGAGGAAGAGCUUCUGGUGAUUCAACCAAGAGAUAGGAAACAAUCGAUGGUGAGUUGUGCGAAGAGGAGAGCUUUGUCGAACAUGGAGGCCUUGAGAAGGCAAUCGUCGAGGGGUUUGGAUUCCUAAAGACCGGAGGGUUGCCCUUGAAUCCUUCUUUGAGUGAAGCACAUCAUUCAUGGUGGAAGCAAAGGGUUUGUCACCGUCGAAGGGAAGAUCUUCAAUGGUACUUUGAACCUCACGAGGAAAAGAAGAAGAGGAGAGCCAUGAACCUUGGUGCAUGACCACUGCAGUGGCAGUGGAUCUUGCUGCUGUAUUGGCUGCAUCGAGGGCUGCUUGAAGACCUGUACGUGAUAUGAUUUGCCCCUUGGAAGCUAAGGCUGUGAAUUGUUGUUUCUUUUGUUCUGGAAUGUCUUCAAUAAAGUCCAUGAAUUUGU